rnacentral:rRNA from 1 species
AUUGAACGCUGGCGGCAGGCCUAACACAUGCAAGUCGAGCGGAUGAAGGGAGCUUGCUCCUGGAUUCAGCGGCGGACGGGUGAGUAAUGCCUAGGAAUCUGCCUGGUAGUGGGGGAUAACGUCCGGAAACGGGCGCUAAUACCGCAUACGUCCUGAGGGAGAAAGUGGGGGAUCUUCGGACCUCACGCUAUCAGAUGAGCCUAGGUCGGACUAGCUAGUUGGUGGGGUAAAGGCCUACCAAGGCGACGAUCCGUAACUGGUCUGAGAGGAUGAUCAGUCACACUGGAACUGAGACACGGUCCAGACUCCUAAGGGAGGCAGCAGUGGGGAAUAUUGGACAAUGGGCGAAAGCCUGAUCCAGCCAGGCCGCGUGUGUGAAGAAGGUCUUCGGAUUGUAAAGCACUUUAAGUUGGGAGGAAGGGCAGUAAGUUAAUACCUUGCUGUUUUGACGUUACCAACAGAAUAAGCACCGGCUAACUUCGUG